UAUACUAUAGUUUAUAAAAAACGCUUUAUUUUCUGUAAAGAGAAAAAUCUUGUUUUAGUAUAAC
rnacentral:tRNA from 1 species